GAUUAUUAUGAACUGACAAACCUAGAGUUGAACUGGUAGCAGCAGAGUAGAAUUUGCUAUCAGUCAGUGGUCAGAUUCCCUACUCUAGAACUCCAAAUGUUUCAAUCAUCUUCUAAACUGUGAUGAUUCACAUUGCACCAAUGGAAGUCCAAUUGCCAGAGGAAGUUCCUGCAACUAUACAUCCACUUGCUAUCAAAGAAACUUGCACACAUCUCGAGGCAUCACCUGUGCUUUUUAUAGACACUGAAUCCCCAGAUAAUUAGCUUAUGUACACUGUUAUUAAACCAUGUUUCUCUCCCACUUCUCCAAGAUACGUAUGAAAAUGUUGAGCUAAAUUAGGCUUUAUAAAUAAGCUGAUAGGGAAAAGACUUAACUUGUGUUUUUCUCCCUUACAGAUUUUAUGAUAGGGGAAAGCUAAUUUUCAGAUAGCUUAAAAACUACAGGAAAAAAAAACCUUAAAAAAAAUCCAGCUACUCCUGAAUGGAUGUUCCUCACUCAGGUUUUCAACAAUCAUCUGAAACAGAGGAAGCUUCCAGUUCCUUCAGCACUGGAGAACAUCUAAUGGUACCAGCAUGAUGAUUCAGAAACCCUUGAAGAUACAGUCAUAUUUUCAGCAACAGAUGGAUUUAACACUGCAGAUGGAGUGUUAAGAGUGCAGAUUAUGCCGGCGAAUGAUGAGCCUCCAAAGCUGCAGCCAAGAUUAAAGGCAGGACUGGAGUGUCUGGAGGGAGGUCUUAGGACUAGUGGAUAUCAUACUUUAAUGCUGGUUUGUUCUCAUCAAUUGGAAGAGAGAAAACAAACAUUCCUGCAUCUCAGCUCCUCACCAGUUUCUAAACUUAAAUGAAGUAGUUACUGAACUGAAUGAAAUGAAAUAUAAAUUGACAUGAAGAAAAUGUUCCCUUUGCAGCUAUGGAAGCAGCUAUAGUUGUCUAAAGCUGACUUUUACCACUUCCACAAACAGUAGUUUGGGUCACUAAUCGCAUCAUCCCAUUCAGUGGCUGGACUUUGUAUAAAACUUUGGCAUAAAGAGUACAAAGAUUCUGAACACAUCUCAAAUAGAGGCAAAGAAACUUCAAAACUGGAGCAUAAUCUAUCUGUGAAAGAGGUCUACAUCCUGACUGUUCACGACAGGAGGUGACAGAAGAGAGCACAGAGGAUCUUCAUAGAAGACACUACUGAAGAGGUGAAAUAAGACAUCAUUCUCACUUGAACACAAUCACUCCACAAUCUCUGACAGAGGGACAAGUAUAACGAAUGGCUGCUGUUCUGAUGAACUUCGUCCACCUCUACUACCUCAUGCUCCUCUCCCGUUUUAUGACCUGAAUGUUACGUUCCUGCCCAUUGAUAAUCAAUGGCCCAAGAUUCAUAUGGGUCACGAUACCUUGCUUAGCUAUCUUGCCUGAAGUUUUGGAAAAUGUCAAGAUGCUCCCAAUAUUCUGAGUGUCUGUAUGGCAUUGGGAUUCGUAUCUACUGUAGAAUCAGUAACAAUUCAAAGAAGGAACGCGUGAUGCAUGGGGCAUCUUAAGCAAGUAUCCAUUUGAAAUAUCUGAAUGCUUUUGAAGAAGAGCCGAAGGACCUCAUUGUUAGAGAAAAACCCUCAGUAUGGCUUCCGAGAAAAUAAGCUUCCCUCACCUGGCUGCAAGAGCAGCUAUGCUGGGACUGAUAGGAAGGUGACUUAUGUGUUAUGGAUGGAGCACUCUGAAUGCUGAAGACCCUGAUGUCCCUCAGAAUGCACUGAGUGUCUCCAUCAUUACCCUCCCUCCCGCUCACGGAUUGAUAUUAAAUGGACUCUGUGGCAGCGACGUUGGUUGGUACGAGUUGCUGACCUCAGCAAAGCUUCAGCAAGACUACAAAUUCACAGCUUUUCCCUGGCUGAACUCAAACAAGGACUGAUGCUAGGGUACAUGCAUGAUGACACAGAAAGCCUAGAGGAUAGUUUUACCGUGCAGCUGACAGAUGGCAAGCACACAGUCCAAGGGACAUUUUACAUCUACAUCAUGCCAUUCAACGAUGAAAUCCUUCAUCUUUCCAGCGUUUCCUCUAGGGCUUGCUGCAGUGCGGAGCCUUCAAACCGCUCCUGCCAAGGGAAAUGGUGCCAGCCUUUC